rnacentral:rRNA from 1 species
CCUACGGGGGGCAGCAGUAGGGAAUCUUUCACAAUGGGCGAAAGCCUGAUGGAGCAACGCCGCGUGCAGGAUGAAGGCCUUCGGGUUGUAAACUGCUUUUAUAAGCGAGAAAUAUGAUGGUAACUUAUGAAUAAGGAUCGGCUAACUACGUGCCAGCAGCCGCGGUCAUACGUAGGAUCCGAGCAUUAUCCGGAGUGACUGGGUGUAAAGAGUUGCGUAGGUGGCAUAAUAAGUAGCUAGUGAAAUCUGGUGGCUCAACCAUUCAGACGAUUAGCUAAACUGUUAAGCUCGAGACCGUUAGGGGUAACUGGAAUUUCUAGUGUAGGAGUGAAAUCCGUAGAUAUUAGAAGGAACACCAAUAGCGUAGGCAGGUUGCUGGGACGGUUCUGACACUAAGGCACGAAAGCGUAGGGAGCAAACGGGAUUAGAUACCCGUGUAGUC